rnacentral:lncRNA from 1 species
CAGGAAUGCUGUUCCGCUCGCCCCGCCCUGGCACGCUCCCAGCCCGCUUGCAGGAACACGCCGAAAGCUCUGUCUGCCACUUCCAGGGAUGCAGUACUUCCCCUGAAGGAGGAGAGCAAGCUGAUGUGGCUGACUAGGAACUACAGGACUGCUCACGUUUGUUAAGUCUUGGUUUCGGCAGAGCCUCAAUCUGGCUGCUGGCUUUUUGGACCUCUGAAGAUGCUGCUGUGCUUGGACUCAGUGUGACUCUUCUCUCAGAAGAAGAGCAGCAUUGUAAGUCAUGUCUAGGAUGUGUUU